rnacentral:rRNA from 1 species
UACGGGGGGGGCAAGCGUUGUUCGGAAUUACUGGGCGUAAAGGGCUCGUAGGCGGCCAACUAAGUCGGAUGUGAAAUCCCCAGGCUCAACCUGGGAACUGCAUCCGAUACUGGAUGGCUUGAAUUCGGGAGAGGGAUGUGGAAUUCCAGGUGUAGCGGUGAAAUGCGUAGAUAUCUGGAGGAACAUCGGUGGCGAAGGCGACAUCCUGGACCGGUAUUGACGCUGAGGCGCGAAAGCCAGGGGAGCAAACGGG